UACGGGGGGGGGCAAGCGUUGUUCGGAAUUACUGGGCGUAAAGGGCUCGUAGGCGGCCAACUAAGUCGGACGUGAAAUCCCCAGGCUCAACCUGGGAACUGCGUCCGAUACUGGAUGGCUUGAAUCCGGGAGAGGGAUGCAGAAUUCCAGGUGUAGCGGUGAAAUGCGUAGAGAUCAGGCAGAACACCUGGGGCGAAGGCGGCCAGCUGGGCCGUCCCUGACGCUGAGGCGGCGAAGGCGUGGGGAGCGAACGGG
rnacentral:rRNA from 1 species